rfam:Cephalotus follicularis DNA, scaffold: scaffold3939, isolate: St1.
CUGGAAUGAUGUAGCUUAGCCAAAUCAGACAUUUGACGUGCUCCAUAAGGCAUGCUCUUGAAUGUUUGUUUUGUGGAUAUUGUUGAGGUGCUAAAGUAAUCUCUUCUAUACCCUUGAACAAGCUAUAUAUAUAAGAUGCCUUCUGUUGAAGCGCGUCUCCCUGAUGAUAAACUAGAGAUCGGUUGCUUUCUGACCAGA